GGGGAAAAUUAAUAAAUUUAAAUUUAAUAAAAAAAAUUUUAAUAUUAAAAAGAAAAAAUGGGGGUUUAAGUAUUUUUAAUAGAAAAAAUUAAUAUUUUUAUAGUUAAAUAUUACUGUAAAGGAAGUUAUAAAUAGAUGAAAUAAAAUUAAUUAAAAAGUAAAUUUUAAUUAUUGUAUCUUGUGUAUCAGAGUUUAUUAAAUAAUAAUAAUUUAUUUAAAUAAAUCUCGAAUUUAAAAGAGUUAAUUAAUUAAUAAAGUUAAUGUUGAAUAAUUAUUUUAAAUAAUUAAUUAGAAAUGAAAUGUUAAUCGUUUUUAAAUAUAUCUAGUUUUUUCAGAAAAAAAUUUAAUUUUAAAUUUAAAUAAUUUUAUAAUUAUUUAAUUAAUUAUAAAAAUUUAAAUUUUAAUAUUUUAGGGGAUAAGCUUUAAAUUAAAAAUUUAUAAUUAAUUAAUUUAAAAUUAAAAUUUUUAAAAUUUAUAUUGUUUAAAAAUUAUAAUUUAUUAUAAAAAAUUUUAUUUUUAAUAAAAUUUAAAAUAAAAAAAUUUAAAUUUUUAUGAAAAAAUAAUUUAUAAUUAAAUAAAAUUAGAAAUAAUGAUAAAAUUAGUAUAAUAUAAUAAAUUAAAUUAAAUUUAUAAAUAAGUAAAUUAAAGGAAUUCGGCAAAAUUUUAUAUUCACUUGUUUAUCAAAAACAUGUCUUUUUGAUAAUAAUUUAAAGUCUAAUCUGCCCACUGAUAGGACAUUAAAGGGCUGCAGUAUAUUGACUGUACAAAGGUAGCAUAAUCAUUAGUCUUUUAAUUGAAGACUUGUAUGAAAGAUUUGAUGAGAUAUAAACUGUCUCUAAUUUAUAAUUAGAAAUUAAUUUUUUAGUUAAAAAGCUAAAAUAAAAUUAAAAGACGAGAAGACCCUAUAGAGUUUUAUAUUUUAUUUUUUUAAUAUGAAAAAUAUAAUUAAAUUAUGUUAAGUAAAUAAAAUAUUGUGUUGGGGUGAUAGAAAAAUUUAAUAAACUUUUUUUAAAAAAUUAACAUAAAUAAGUGAUUAAUUGAUCCAUUAAUAGUGAUUAAAAGAAAAAAUUACCUUAGGGAUAACAGCGUAAUAUUUUUUUUUAGUACAAAUAAAAAAGAAAGUUUGCGACCUCGAUGUUGGAUUAAGAUAAAAUUUAAAUGCAAAAGUUUAAAAUUUUGAUCUGUUCGAUCAUUAAAAUCUUACAUGAUCUGAGUUCAAACCGGUGUAAGCCAGGUUGGUUUCUAUCUUUAAUAAAAUAAAAUAUUUUAGUACGAAAGGAUCAAAUAUUUAAAAUAAUUUUAUUUAUUGGAAUAUUAAUAAUAUAGUUUU
rnacentral:rRNA from 1 species